CUGAGCGUCUGGUUGCGAUGGUGCUCCUUGUGGCCAUGAUGCCGGCGAGAAGAUUUCCUCUUCAGCGCCGGCUGUCGCGGAGCGGGCUGACAUCGGCAUUCCACGUGAUCCAUCACGGACACCACGGCUUUAGCGUAUCUGGUGUGUGUGACAACAGGGACGCACUGAAGGCUUUUGGUAUUACAGCAACCGGAGCAGCGCUGCACCUCCACACAUGGCGGCCAUAGCAGGAAGUUAGCAUUGCUUCGGUCCAACAUUGCCCUGGUGACCUCCACCACCUCCGUGCGAACUUUACACACGGCCUGCUGGGCUGGCUGAGCAACUGGAGGAGGAAAAGACAAAUUGUGAGUAUUAUUUCAUUCCAGUCAGUCAUUGUUUAUUUUAUUUUUUUUUCAAUCGGUUGCAGCAGACUAAGGCAACAUGAGAAGAUGGAAAAAGACAUCAUAGGAAAAAUAAAACAUUAUAUAUGUGUUAAUGCAAGAUCAUUUGUCUUUUGGUGCUGGAUGGGAAGCUUUCACGGUACUCCAACUGGUGUCCACUGGAGACAUCUGCUUUAUUAUCGAUUCCCCAGAAAAAGGUUAAUGGGUAUGAUUUUCAGCAUGUCACCAAGCCCAUACUUGUCACAUAAAUCAAGGCCCGGAGAGACAACCUAAUGAAGAUAAACAUUCACCAAGAAAAUCAAGAAUCUUCCAUGCCAGCACUCGGAGCAACCGUAUUGUUUGGAUAUGAGAAAGGUCUUUGGGUGUAAUGUAUUCCUUUGGGGUCAAAGGAGCCAGGAAGGAGCCAGGAAGUGGGGGAAGGAGUGAUACAGAGAGGAGAAGAGAAGCAUGUCAAAAAGGAGAUGAAGAAAAGAAUGGACAAGGAUCAGACGUGGGGUCGGGACACUUGCUCGCUGGCGUCGGUUCAAAUAUGAGCUUCAUGUUACUCAAAAGUGCAUUAGACGUCAGGAAUGAAGUCACUCAUUUAUGGAAAAUAGAACAUCCAGAAUCUGGAGAAUUUAAUGAAGCUCUUUAGGAAGCCAAAGGCAGCCAUCCAUGCAUGAGCGGUUAUUUGACUUCACGACGCCGUUUCCUGCAUUGUUGCUUGGCCCCUUUUCAGUCUCAAAGAGUCCAAGCGGGGAAAUGGCUGCUCGCAUCUCUGUUGUCGUCGAGCUGCAGAUGCCCCAGAGGAGUCAUCGUUAUUUCCUUUCCUCGCCAACCUGCUUGCUUGGAUAAUUGUGUUUGAUGUUAAUUAUAGGACCUGGGCCUUUUUUUCACAGCCCUUGCCUGCCUUCUGUCAAGGUUUAGAAAUGUACUAUCUCGAAACAAAGCUAGAAAAAUGGUGCUACUGAUUCUACAUGAAAUGAGGCAAAUUAAAUUCUGACCUAUGUGACUUGAAAUUUUAAUUUGAGGCUAAAUGGCUUUUUGUUAUAGAAUAUAAAAUAUGUAAUAAUAAUUCCUUCUGUUUCUAUAGACUCUUUUUCAGCAUUUAUGCGAUCAUUUCCCAGCUUGUGACAUAUUUGAAAUUGAUCCGAGCCCUGAUCUGGUCGCUUCCAGUGGAUGUAUUGAGGAAUGCCAGGUACGUCUGCAGGGGAGGAGCAGGAACAUCUAAUCGUAUAUAAUUAGGGAGGGAGCGAGGAAGCUUGUGUGGCGUGGCAUUUUUCACAAAUGGUCACGGGAAUUAUAACUGAAUGUGUGACAGUCGAGAUUUGAACCCAGAACCUCCAAAACAUUCUAACCACAUCAUACCUACAUUCAAAUAUGUUUUUGUUUUUGAUUACUCUCCCACUUCUUGUUGUCAGUCCAAACUAACUUCGAUGCACUGGCGGCGCUAGGAUUUUUUUCUUUAGGGGGGGGGGAUUGGGGUGGCCAAGGAUAUUUCAGGGGUUCUAUAAAACAUGAAUAAUUUUUUUUUAAUAUUUGACUGCCUUUAAUAGCCAAUAUGAUGUAGAAAUGUAUUGCCUCAAGUUUUUUUAAUUGGAUCCCAUGCAGGUGUUUUGAACAUUUUGCCGACUGACUGAAUGAGUUUGUUUCCCCCCCCUUGGUGGUCGCUCAUUGAAAUAAACUCACAAGCACACAGCACUGUGUGUUGCUCCAAGCCAUUUGUAUGAUAAUUGGAAUGUUUGAAGUCUGCGUAUAUAUGCCUUAGUCCAACUCUGGGAAUUCCCACUUGCAUACAUCAAAGUCAUUUUUAACUUUUACCUAUGAGCCUGCCU